ACUCAACUGUCGAGUCCCAAAUAGGACGAAACACGCGUCCUAGAU
rnacentral:hammerhead_ribozyme from 1 species